UACGUAGGGUGCAAGCGUUAAUCGGAAUUACUGGGCGUAAAGCGUGCGCAGGCGGUUUUGUAAGUCUGACGUGAAAUCCCCGGGCUCAACCUGGGAAUUGCGUUGGAGACUGGAAGGCUAGAGUGUGUCAGAGGGGGGUAGAAUUCCACGUGUAGCAGUGAAAUGCGUAGAGAUGUGGAGGAAUACCGAUGGCGAAGGCAGCCCCCUGGGUCAAGAUUGACGCUCAUGCACGAAAGCGUGGGGAGCAAACAGG
rnacentral:rRNA from 1 species